UUGUGGUGAGAUGUAAAUUGGCACUUUCAUAAAUCUGCCCCUUAGUGUAUUUACUGUACCCAGAGCUGUAUUUAGCUCCAAUCACACCCUACGUACCUAAACAUGCCGCUUACUCAGUGCAUGUGAAGUCACUUCUACCCCUCACCCCCCAGCUCCUUCAUUGAAUUUCAUAUGGAAAUCCAUGGCAGAGGCUGGGUGAAUUGGUUUUUUUUUUAAAUUUAUAGGCACCCGAGGGCCGCCCCCCAAAACUUAUUGCCCUAGACACAGGCCCUCAGUCCUGCACGGGUGCAUUUUUGGAACCCGUACCUGACCCAUACCCCGCAACCUGCAAUCCGCAACUCAAAACCGCGACCCGCUGACCAUCAAGAAUCAGGAAGUGCUGCCGUAAACCGGAAGUGGCAUCAUCGGAAAUUUGUAUCUGGAACAAACUAUCAUCUGACUCUCAUAUCAGGACACACUCCAUAUAAAAAGGGAUAAGAUUUUCUACUGGAGAGAUGUCUGCCAAAUAUUUCUGCUCCCUUGAUGGGAGUAUAGUGCUCUUUUUCUAUAUUAAUUGUCCCAUGGAUCAACGAGAUAAAACUCUUACAUCAGAUGUGCUGCCAGCAAAAGAAGUGACUGGUGUGGUUGCAGGCUUACACUGAUGGCAUACAGGGAGAUUUAUUAACCACGAGAAAUGGUCGCUGCCUGCGGAUGACAAAUCUCCAGGAAAUACCGGUAUCAGUUU